CAUUUGAGUCUCCGGGUGGGUCACGCUCCCAUCCCGGACGAGCCCCCAAAUGAAAGACCCCCAAACUUGGGGAGACUCUCGCUCCAGUCACAGGUUGAGGUACCCCCAAGAAACGCGAGUAGCU
rnacentral:pre_miRNA from 14 species